rnacentral:rRNA from 1 species
UAAUACGGAGGGUGCAAGCGUUAUCCGGAUUUAUUGGGUUUAAAGGGCGCGUAGGCGGUUAUUUAAGUCAGAUGUGAAAAACCGAGGCUCAACCUCGGAAUUGCAUUUGAAACUGGAUGACUUGAGGAUGAGAGAGGAAAGUGGAAUUCCUAGUGUAGCGGUGAAAUGCGUAGAUAUUAGGAGGAACACCAGUGGCGAAGGCGACUUUCUGGCUCAUACCUGACGCUGAGGCGCGAAAGCGUGGGGAGCAAACAGGAUUAGAUACCCUGGUAGUCCACGCCGUAAACGAUGAGCACUAGGUGUAGGGGGUAUCGACCCCCUCUGUGCCGCAGCUAACGCAUUAAGUGCUCCGCCUGGGGAGUACGAUCGCAAGAUUG